AACGAACGCUGGCGGCGUGCCUAACACAUGCAAGUCGUGCGAGAAAGUUCCUUCGGGAGCGAGUAAAGCGGCGCACGGGUGAGUAACACGUAGGUAACCUGCCCCCCAGUCUGGAACAACUAGAGGAAACUCUAGCUAAUGCCGGAUGAGACCACGAUCCCUUCGGGGGUUGCGGCCAAAGAUGGCCUCUACUUGUAAGCUAUCGCUGAGGGAUGGGCCUGCGGGCCAUUAGCUUGUUGGUGAGGUAACGGCUCACCAAGGCUGUGAUGGCUAGCUGGUCUGAGAGGAUGACCAGCCACACUGGGACUGAGACACGGCCCAGACUCCUACGGAGGCAGCAGUGGGGAAUAUUGCGCAAUGGGCGAAAGCCUGACGCAGCCACGCCGCGUGAGUGAAGAAGGCCUCGGUUGUAAGACGUA
rnacentral:rRNA from 1 species